UGGGGAAUUGUUCGCAAUGGGCGCAAGCCUGACGACGCAACGCCGCGUGGAGGAUGAAGGUCUUCGGAUUGUAAACUCCUGCUGCUCGGGACGAAUGGCUCCGACCUAACACGUCGGAGUGUGACGGUACCGGGUGAGGAAGCCCCGGCUAACUCUGUGCCAGCAGCCGCGGUAAUACAGAGGGGGCAAGCGUUGUUCGGAAUUACUGGGCGUAAAGGGCGCGUAGGCGGCCUGCUAAGUCGAACGUGAAAUCCCCGGGCUCAACCCGGGAACUGCGUCCGAUACUGGCAGGCUUGAAUCCGGGAGAGGGAUGUGGAAUUCCAGGUGUAGCGGUGAAAUGCGUAGAUAUCUGGAGGAACACCGGUGGCGAAGGCGGCAUCCUGGACCGGCAUUGACGCUGAGGUGCGAAAGCGUGGGGAGCAAAC
rnacentral:rRNA from 1 species